AAAUAAGAUUUAAUCAUGAGAAUUAGUAUUUUAUAUAAUCAAUUACAAAGAAAAUAAUAAUUAUUAUGCCUUGAAAGAGAAUGCUAACUAUUUUUGAUAUAGUAAAAUACUAGAAAUAAACUCUAACAAAAACUAAUGUGUCUAUAUAUGCAUAUAUUUUGAAAAAUUUACCUAAUUAUUAAUUUAUAAUAUUGUUGGGACCAUAUAUUUACAAAGGAUUUUCAAAAAAAUUAUUAUCUUAUUAUUUUAUCGAAAUAUGUCUAAAAUUAC
rnacentral:lncRNA from 1 species